UCAUCACCACUGCCUUUUAUCAAGAAUUUGAAGAAAAGAGCAGAAGUGAGAUAAGCUAGAAAAAGCGAGUGGAUGGUCUGCCUUAUUUUUGGCUCAACUCUUUCAUAUUUUUCAAUACAUAUUUUAAUACAAAGGAGCAAACUGGUUCUCCCUUCUUGAGCGGUCCCUGGAGAGAGAAGCAGAGAGAGAAUUGCUCUCGGCUGGAGGGGUCUUUGCUGCAAUGGGUAGGAAGCGGCAUGGAGGAGGUCCUUCUGCAACUAUACUGCGUUGUUUCCCUCUUUCUGGGACCCCUGGCCUCCCUUCUCAGCUGCUCCACCCUGUUUAUGUUGGCCCAGGAGAAAAAAGCUAAGCAGGGGACUUCUGCAUCCUCCAUCUUUGUACGAGUACGAUGAGAGGCAAUUUCAAUUGCUUUUUCUCAGAAUAGCUGGAGACUCAGGCUAGAAAGUAAAGGAUAUGAAACCAUCUUGCUGAAGGGUUGAAAGUUGUUUUCUCAGCUGGAUGGAGAUCAGAAUCAUACAGAAAGUUCCUUAAGAUGGAAUGUGUCCCCAAAGGUAGCAUGCUGAAACCCUAACCUGCCAUGUGAUCACGUUUGGAGGUGGUGAUUUAGAUGAUGAGGGUGAGUCCGCAUGAAUGGGAUCAGUGCCCUUAUAAGAAGAGACAGGAGGGAGUUCAUCUCUUCUCUGCUCUCUGCCAUGUGAGGAUAUAACAAGAAGGUGACCACUGCAAAUCAGGAAGAGGACCCUUAUCAGACACCAGAUCUGCUGGCACCUUAAUCUUGGACUUGCCAACCUCCAGAACUGUGAGAAAUAAAGGUUUGUCCAGUCUAUGGUAUUCCUGAUGCAGCAGUCCAAACUGACUAAGACAGUCUGACAAAUGGAUAUAUUUGGAUUUGAAAAGGGGAUGCCCAGACCAUAGUCAAUUGUAGAAAGUGAAGACACCUCACCAGGAUGUGCAGCCCUAAAGAGCUGACUCUGGUCACAUGCUGUUCCUCAAGUGAACUAUCAGUACACCCACACUCCUGCUGAUAUGCUUAUCUUAACUGUAUGUACAAGCAACUGACUUACGUCGCUAAAGCCACUUCAUGCCCAAUGAAAGCUGCCCCUUUCUCGUGACCAGAAUCCACUUGCUUGCUUUGCAGGCCUCUUUCACGGUACUGAGGAACUCAGGAUACAGCAUUAGGAAUCAGAAUGCAGCUUAGUGAAGGAGGUGUGAAAAUACUUUUUUCCAAUCAGUUCUCCACACACUGAGCUUAACUGCUUAUUAAGCUCAAGUUUAUUGGUAAGCCUAGUGGAAAAGAUUUUGAUCCCAAGCCAACCAAAUGCAAAAAUCUAAAUUUUAAGAACUCUGCGUUUUUAGUCAACCUGACUAAGCAAUGAUGUAUACGUUUCUGAUGGCUCUUGUUCUAAAUGUAUUAGAGCUUUCUUUUUAAAUAAAUGGAAUCAUUUUAAGUAUUUUAAUGUACAGAGUUUCUACUCAUUCUUAUAGCUUCCUGUCUAUUUUUUAAUUUAAGCCAAUGAGUAGAACUGUACCAUACAUUCCAUCUGUAGCCUGCUUGGGGAUGUCUUCUUUACCAGUAAGAUUUUGAAAGUUCAUAGGGUAUAAUAAACUCCUAUUCACAGGUUAAGAAGCAAGUCCAAGCACCCUCUCUUUUUUGCAUUUCUGCUCUACUCAACUGUGGGACAAUUACAGCCUCAUUUCUGCCAAGAAGAUAAAAGAAAAGAAAAAUAAUUUUUAAGGGACAGAGAGAUGCUUUCCAAACUGUAUCACUUGUAAAGAAGGAAAAAACUAUACAUCUCAAAAAUAUCAGAAGUACAAAAAUGAUUACUGACUGUGACCUGAAUUGGGCUGAGUUAGGAGGAAGCACUAGUAGAAACCCAAGACUCUUAAACUGCAGGGUCAGGUGUGCAAACUAGGAACAGAAAGGACAGCUCCAUUUCCUCUCCUCCCAACGUCCCUUGAGAAUCAUUGCCAUACUUCCUGGCUGAAUUUUGGUGUAUGCCUUGGAUAUGUUGAGGCAAAACAAAUAUUGAGAAACUUAACUCUGUCCAUAUCUUCUAGAAUAUUUAAUCUAUAUAGAGAGGCAACCAAAAAAAAUGUUUAAGUCUCUCUCUCUCUCUUUCUCUCUGUGUGUGUGUGUGUGUGUGUGUAUAAAUAAAACAACAUGGGGUGAAUUUUCCAUGAAACCGCAAAUUUCUAGAGAUUAUUUUUUCAUGAAAGGAUUCAAGCAAAAUGACAACUAUCAGCUACAUCCAGGCUGAUUUUUUUUUCAGAACUAAAAACACUUCCAUUUUCAAAAUGUAAAGUAACAACAAACCAUCCGGCCACUACCACUGACUUUAUUGGUUUUUCUGUUAAUUAAUCAGGUAUACCUAGGAAGGCAUUCAAAGCUAAGGACAAUGAUAUUUUUUAGAAUGUAAAGUUUGGGAGGGAAAUAGCGUGAAGGGAGAACUGGGACACUAGGCUACCAAAUGAGGCCAUGGAGUCUUCAAGGGCAUAGAGAAUUUCAGAAAGGCAAGAACUUCACGGUCCUGCCGACGCCUAUCCUGGCCAGAGACCAUAUAUUUGCCUUACUUCUUUAACACAUAGUUUAAAAAGUAUCAAGGAUCUUGCCUGGUCAGGUCUCUUUCAGGCAGAUUCUCUUUAUUAGAACACAGUCUGGGUGGAGAAGCCAUAGCAAUAGAGCUGGAGCAGUGUCCAAAGCGUGUCUACUCAGAGUUGCUCCAUCUGGGCUAGUCCCGUAAAUCCAGUCUGAAUUUGAUGUCUGCAAAUCUUUUUACCUGGUGAUACCUCUGUAUAACCAAUAUCUUCAAUAUCUGUCCAUAGACCUCAUAAUCUAUUCGUAUUAUACACAAGUGUUUGUAUUUGCAAUAUAAUACUUAAUAAACAUUCGUUUUUGUGAAAAAUAUGUGACAUAUAAAGAAAGAGGUAUAUUUUAGAGUGAAUGAAACAAAUUUGAUAUGAAGAGGUAACAAAAUUAAGCACUGAAAUAUGUACAGAGAAAUGAGAUUAAUAUGAAGUCCUGUCUUAGAUGAUGGUACGAAACAUCCAUUUAUCUUACCUGAGUUUGAAAUUGUGGCAUUAUAUGAAAUUAAUCAGUAAUUUCUUUUUUCUUUAUGAAAAGAGCUAUUUUGGUGGGUUGAGGGAAGGAGGGAGACACUAGUGAUCACACACCAUAAAGAAUUUAGCAAGUGAGAAAUAACUGAUUAAAAUUUAAUUUAUCCUUUUUCAUAGACUAUGCCUGGACUAUCUUAGAGGUCACAAAUUACUAACAAAUUUUUCUAUGUGCAUUUUUUACAUUGGUCACAGAAACUAAGAAAGGUAUAAGAUUUUAUACUUUGCCCUUGAAGAGUGGAUCUGUUGUAACAAGGAUCAAGAUUGUUA